UCGGAGCGUAGCGCAGCCUGGUAGCGCACCUGCUUCGGGAGCAGGGGGUCGGAGGUUCGAAUCCUCUCGCUCCGACCA
rnacentral:tRNA from 1 species